rnacentral:rRNA from 1 species
GGCGNCAGGCCUAACACAUGCAAGUCGAGCGGCAGCGGGAAAGUAGCUUGCUACUUUUGCCGGCGAGCGGCGGACGGGUGAGUAAUGCCUGGGAAAUUGCCCAGUCGAGGGGGAUAACAGUUGGAAACGACUGCUAAUACCGCAUACGCCCUACGGGGGAAAGCAGGGGACCUUCGGGCCUUGCGCGAUUGGAUAUGCCCAGGUGGGAUUAGCUAGUUGGUGAGGUAAUGGCUCACCAAGGCGACGAUCCCUAGCUGGUCUGAGAGGAUGAUCAGCCACACUGGAACUGAGACACGGUCCAGACUCCUACGGGAGGCAGCAGUGGGGAAUAUUGCACAAUGGGGGAAACCCUGAUGCAGCCAUGCCGCGUGUGUGAAGAAGGCCUUCGGGUUGUAAAGCACUUUCAGCGAGGAGGAAAGGUCAGUAGCUAAUAUCUGCUGGCUGUGACGUUACUCGCAAAANAAGCACCGGCUAACUCCGUGCCAGC